GAUGAACGCUGGCGGCGUGCCUAAUACAUGCAAGUCGAGCGAACGGACGAGAAGCUUGCUUCUCUGAUGUUAGCGGCGGACGGGUGAGUAACACGUGGAUAACCUACCUAUAAGACUGGGAUAACUUCGGGAAACCGGAGCUAAUACCGGAUGAUAUUUUGAACCGCAUGGUUCAAAAGUGAAAGACGGUCUUGCUGUCACUUAUAGAUGGAUCCGCGCUGCAUUAGCUAGUUGGUAAGGUAACGGCUUACCAAGGCAACGAUGCAUAGCCGACCUGAGAGGGUGAUCGGCCACACUGGAACUGAGACACGGUCCAGACUCCUACGGGAGGCAGCAGUAGGGAAUCUUCCGCAAUGGGCGAGAGCCUGACGGAGCAACGCCGCGUGAGUGAUGAAGGUCUUCGGAUCGUAAAACUCUGUUAUUAGAGAAGAACAUAUAUGUAAGUAACUGUGCACAUCUUGACGGUACCUAGUCAGAAAGCCACGGCUAACUGCGUG
rnacentral:rRNA from 1 species